UGUUUGAGUCAGGAGGUUCUGUGC
rnacentral:piRNA from 2 species